rnacentral:rRNA from 1 species
AGCGGCGGAUGGGUGAGUAACACGUGGGGAACCUGCCCCUAAGUCUGGGAUACCAUUUGGAAACAGGUGCUAAUACCGGAUAAUAAAGCAGAUCGCAUGAUCAGCUUUUGAAAGGCGGCGUAAGCUGUCGCUAAGGGAUGGCCCCGCGGUGCAUUAGCUAGUUGGUAAGGUAACGGCUUACCAAGGCGACGAUGCAUAGCCGAGUUGAGAGACUGAUCGGCCACAUUGGGACUGAGACACGGCCCAAACUCCUACGGGAGGCAGCAGUAGGGAAUCUUCCACAAUGGACGCAAGUCUGAUGGAGCAACGCCGCGUGAGUGAAGAAGGUUUUCGGAUCGUAAAGCUCUGUUGUUGGUGAAGAAGGAUAGAGGUAGUAACUGGCCUUUAUUUGACGGUAAUCAACCAGAAAGUCACGGCUAACUACGUGCCAGCAGCCGCGGUAAUACGUAGGUGGCAAGCGUUGUCCGGAUUUAUUGGGCGUAAAGCGAGCGCAGGCGGAAAAAUAAGUCUAAUGUGAAAGCCCUCGGCUUAACCGAGGAACUGCAUCGGAAACUGUUUUUCUUGAGUGCAGAAGAGGAGAGUGGAACUCCAUGUGUAGCGGUGGAAUGCGUAGAUAUAUGGAAGGACACCAGUGGCGAAGGCGGCUCUCUGGUCUGCAACUGACGCUGAGGCUCGAAAGCAUGGGUAGCGAACAGGAUUAGAUACCCUGGUAGUCCAUGCCGUAAACGAUGAGUGCUAAGUGU